rnacentral:rRNA from 1 species
AUGCAGUCGAACGAGAGAAGAGAAGCUUGCUUUUCUGAUCUAGUGGCGGACGGGUGAGUAACACGUGAGCAAUCUGCCUUUCAGAGGGGGAUACCGAUUGGAAACGAUCGUUAAUACCGCAUAAUAUAAUUGAACCGCAUGAUUUGAUUAUCAAAGAUUUAUCGCUGAAAGAUGAGCUCGCGUCUGAUUAGCUAGUUGGUAAGGUAACGGCUUACCAAGGCGACGAUCAGUAGCCGGACUGAGAGGUUGAUCGGCCACAUUGGGACUGAGACACGGCCCAGACUCCUACGGGAGGCAGCAGUGGGGAAUAUUGCACAAUGGAGGAAACUCUGAUGCAGCGAUGCCGCGUGAGGGAAGAAGGUUUUAGGAUUGUAAACCUCUGUCUUCAGGGACGAAAAAUGACGGUACCUGAGGAGGAAGCUCCGGCUAACUACGUGCCAGCAGCCGCGGUAAUACGUAGGGAGCGAGCGUUGUCCGGAAUUACUGGGUGUAAAGGGAGCGUAGGCGGGAUCGCAAGUCAGAUGUGAAAACUAUGGGCUUAACCCAUAAACUGCAUUUGAAACUGUGGUUCUUGAGUGAAGCAGAGGUAAGCGGAAUUCCUAGUGUAGCGGUGAAAUGCGUAGAUAUUAGGAGGAACAUCAGUGGCGAAGGCGGCUUACUGGGCUUUAACUGACGCUGAGGCUCGAAAGCGUGGGGAGCAAACAGGAUUAGAUACCCUGGUAGUCCACGCCGUAAACGAUGAUUACUAGGUGUGGGGGGACUGACCCCUUCCGUGCCGCAGCAAACGCAAUAAGUAAUCCACCUGGGGAGUACGACCGCAAGGUUGAAACUCAAAGGAAUUGACGGGGGCCCGCACAAGCAGUGGAGUAUGUGGAUUAAUUCGA